CUACGGAGGGUCCGAGCGUUAUUCGGAAUCAUUGGGUUUAAAGGGUCCGUAGGCGGGAAUCUAAGUCAGUGGUGAAAUCUUGCAGCUCAACUGUAAAAUUGCCAUUGAUACUGGAUUUCUUGAAUUAGUGUGAAGUGGUUAGAAUGUGUAGUGUAGCGGUGAAAUGCAUAGAUAUUACACAGAAUACCAAUUGCGAAGGCAGAUCACUAACACUAUAUUGACGCUGAGGGACGAAAGCGUGGGGAGCGAACAGGAUUAGAUACCCCGGUAGUCC
rnacentral:rRNA from 1 species